rnacentral:rRNA from 1 species
GACGAACGCUGGCGGCGUGCUUAACACAUGCAAGUCGAACGGAAAGGCCCUGCUUUUGUGGGGUGCUCGAGUGGCGAACGGGUGAGUAACACGUGAGUAACCUGCCCAUGACUUUGGGAUGACUUCAGGAAACUGGGGCUAAUACCGGAUAGGAACUCCUGCGGCAUGGUGGGGGCUGGAAAGUUUCGGCGGUUGGGGAUGGACUCGCGGCUUAUCAGCUUGUUGGUGGGGAAGUGGCUUACCAAGGCUUUGACGGGUAGCCGGCCUGGGAGGGUGGCCGGCCACAUUGGGCCUGAGAUACGGCCCAGACUCCUACGGGAGGCAGCAGUGGGGAAUAUUGCACAAUGGGCGGAAGCCUGAUGCAGCAACGCCGCGUGCGGGAUGACGGCCUUCGGGUUGUAAACCGCUUUCGCCUGUGACGAAGCGUGAGUGACGGUAAUGGGUAAAGAAGCACCGGCUAACUACGUG